rnacentral:lncRNA from 1 species
AAUGAUCAACUGUAUUGAGUUGAAUAUUGAAGAUAUAGAUGAAAUUAAGAUGCGUAGGAUUUCCGCGUUCAGCGGUUUCAGUGGCGGCAGAACCCAUCACAUCUCGGCAUAAAAGUGUCCAAAGAUGGUUUUCUUUUGUCAAUCCAAAUUGAGUUCUGAACACAAGUUUUUACAUGGAACACGUGUUUUCCUUCUAUUCUUCUUUUUGUCUUUUUGCUGGAUCCAUUUUCAAAGAACUUUCUUUUCCUGUCUUAUUGUUCCUUCUAGGUGUCAAUAGUUCCUUGGUGGUUGUUGAAUGAGACCAAUCAAGAAAAGCUUAAACCUAUUUCUUUUUUUUUUUUAUCAUUCAAGGUGGGAUUAUUAAUUAAAGCAAGAUAAGAGAGCUGCAUGCCACACACGAACAAAGAGGUUACAUGAAUCUAAACAUCGACAAACAAAAGCACAAUUUUAUUUAAAUAAUGCUUAUUUGUGAGCGACAUCAUUGUCCUUUGACUCGAAUCAUCAUUGCCCAAGUGUAAGACACAACAUAUCGAGACCACGGUUGCCAUGAGCUCGAGUUUGAGACUACUCUAUCUAUAUUUUAAUUUCUAACUAGAUGGUUAUUUUCUAAUUAGUUGAUUAUGUAAGCUUUGUUGCGAAAUUAAAUUUUAUUAAAUAAAAUUUAAAAAAUAUUUG